AACCCAUGGUGAGGACACCGCCUCAAUAAGUCCUUAUACCUCUUCCAUGCAUCAUAUAGAGUCUCUAAAUCAAUCUAAACGAAGGAAAAAAAUAUCAUUCCUCAACUU
rfam:Gossypium raimondii Chr08_contig_715, whole genome shotgun sequence.